rnacentral:rRNA from 1 species
CAGUAGCCACGGGAAUACGUAGGUGGCAAGCGUUGUCCGGAAUUAUUGGGCGUAAAGCGCGCGCAGGUGGUUUAAUAAGUCUGAUGUGAAAGCCCACGGCUCAACCGUGGAGGGUCAUUGGAAACUGUUAAACUUGAGUGCAGGAGAGAAAAGUGGAAUUCCUAGUGUAGCGGUGAAAUGCGUAGAGAUUAGGAGGAACACCAGUGGCGAAGGCGGCUUUUUGGCCUGUAACUGACACUGAGGCGCGAAAGCGUGGGGAGCAAACAGGAUUAGAUACCCCGGUAGUCCCUGUCUCUUAUAC